CAUGUGAAAGGGUGCCCUUCUACAUGCCGUAAGAGUCAGGGUUCUGGAAAAAAAAUCGUAAGUCUUCCAUCAUAUGUAGAAUCACAUAUACUACGUGUAAGUCACUAACCCAUGAACAGAUAAAAUAAUGAGUUUGAGAACACUUUGAAAAUGAUAAAUCAUUAUGUAAAUGCUGUGUGUGUAUGAAUGUAAGCAUAAGCAUGGGCUUGAAGUAAUAUUAUUAGAGAAAGUAGAAAUAACUUGAUGCUCAUUUCCAAACUUGGCACAUGUGCAUUGUAACAGACAUCAUGAUUUUCAACAUUCUUCUUUUUCUUUCUCUAAUAAUAGGAAGCAUAUCAGUAAAGAGUGCUCUUUAAUGCUUGCUAUACUCUAGGAAAUUAUUUAAGUGCUUUUCACAGAUUAUCUCAUUUGAGCCUCCCAUGAAUCCUGUAAAAUACCAUAUUAUUACUGUAGCUAUUAUGCCUAUUUUACAGGAGAAAAAAACUGAGUUGUAGGAACAUUAAAUAAGUUGAUUAAAAUUACUUAAUGAGAAAGUGCUAGAGUAAAAGUGUGAGCAGAAGCACUCUGAGACAGGAAUUUGCUUGUUGAAAUAUGUCUUAAAGUAAAAUUUACUGUAAACUAACCUACAUUAUGUGACUUCACAUAACACAGGAAGGAGAAAGUGGACAGAGAAGCCAAGAUGUAAAUAGUCACUGAAAAGGAAAGAGGAGAAAGCAAGAAGAACAUGAGGUAAAAUAUUUGCAAAUGUGUUUAUUGCAACUCCUUUUCAAACUUACUUUAUUUGAACACUUUAUUUUCACUUUCUAGAUUUUAUGUCUCUACCAAAUGAAUUUGAUUACAAAAUUUUCCUUUUGUCUCUCUUGUACUGAUGUGAGCACUCAUUUAACUAAUUUCAUUUUAACUACAUUAUCCAUAUCUAUUCAUAUUGUCCCCAUCUAUGUGACUUCAUUGUCUAUGAUUCUGUUCUAUAAACUCUGCAAUUCUGUUCUUUGAUCCACUGCAUGUAUCUGACAGUUGGACAUUCUUCUCAUUCUAUCUACGUUUUCUGUAUUGGGCAUGCAAGCUGAACCUAUUCUCAGGAAAAUUAUGAAAUGAAUGUAGUCUUUCAAGUCCUAUACAUCUUCUUUUAGCAUGCUUCUGCUUCUUUUUCCUAGUGCUUUCUGGUAAGUUAUCUCAGCCUAUUAUUAUAGUUAUUGGGAAGAUUUUGAUCGGAUAAAAUGUACCCCAUAUUAUUAGGGACUAAUAUAUUUCUCUUAUGAAAGUAUUUGUAGUUUAAAGGAAUACUAAAUGGAAAAAAGUAGCACUAAGGAUGAAGGAAUGGAUAACUGAAUGGCAAACUGCAGAAUAAUUGCAUCAUAUUCUAGAGUGGGGGGACUAAUUCAGAAUGGGUACCCUUCCAGCACCCCCAGAUAUGACUGCAUUGGAAAAAGCCUUUUGGAUACAUUCAAAAUCUCAGUCUUGUACAAGAUAUUACCAAAAUCUGAAAAAAGAAAGAUGUAUGUUUCUUUCAUUAAAAAUUUACAACAGACAUUGUAGUACUUAUUUUUCAUUUACUUAAUAAUUAUUAUUUGGCUGCCAUAUAUUAGCACCAUACCAUCCUUAUAUUUUGGACUCAACAGCCUGUUAAAUUGUGUUAGUUUUGAAAAUUAAAAAAUGUAAUUCAAAGCAGAAACAAGUUAAAAUAAUAAAAAUUAACAGUCCUCUCUAUUCAAUACUGUUCCCAAUUUUGAAAAUUAAUUUGUUUCUUAUUAUUUUGUUCCAUUCGUAAGAAU
rnacentral:lncRNA from 1 species